GUACUCCAUUAAUUAUAGGCAUCCAGUAGUUCAUUUAGUAGUUUCAAAUAGAAGUGCUCAGAGAUUAGAUACGUACCAAUGGAUGGUGAUGUUGUACCCAGCAUGGUUGUGAACACUAACGAUAACUGUGUCACCCUUGCGGGCUUCGAUGGUUGGCCCUGGGAACUGGCCGUUCACCGUCAGGAUAUUCUUGGUGUGACAGAGCCGAGUGUAAGGAGUUUCUUCUAUCUGCAGCAAUUGGGUAAUCAUCAUAAACUAUGGAAAACCGACUCAAACUUAUGCGAUAUUUGCUUGCAGGCAAAUGUGAAAUUGAAAUUCUGUAUAGGAGAAUGGAAGCGCGUGCUAAUUUGGUUACUAAUUCCAUGGGGAAAUUUUUCACAAGACACAGAAAAAAAUCUUGAGAUAUGUCGCUUGAUAAGGAAUUCCAGUCCACGUCC
rnacentral:lncRNA from 1 species